GGGUGAUAGCUCAGUGGGUAAGGGCACUUGCUCUGCAAGCAUGAGGACCUGAGUUCAAAUCUCUUGCAUCCA
rnacentral:tRNA from 1 species